rnacentral:lncRNA from 1 species
UAGGUCUAAAUCUUUAUCCAAUUGCUGUAGAAAUUAAAGCCAGUCCUACAACUAAAAUAAUUAUAAAAAUUAGCUUAUAACCUCAUGCGAUGCAUGAGAUGUAAUUUUUUUAAUGUAAUAUUUCAUUUUAUUUAUCCAACCUGAGGAUAUUGGAGGGAGAAGCCCGAUGCUGGUGAUGAUGAAGAGAAAGGCGAUCACAG